GGGGGUAGUUAAACGGCCGCGGUAAUUAUGACCGUGUUAAAGUAGCGCAAUCAAUCGCCAAUUAAUUGUUGGCAAGUAUGAAGGUUUCACGAAUGCCUCACUGUCUCAAUAUAAAGUUUAUUGAAAUUGGAAUUUUAGUGAAGAUACUAAAUAGUAAUUGAAAGACGAGGAGACCCCGUGAGCUUUACUGGAGUGUUAAUUAUUAUUAAUACAGACAGUUUAGUUGGGGCGACUCCCCUAUAAAGAGUAACUAGGGGGCUUGUGGGUUAAGAAAUAGUUAAACCUAAGACAAUAAGGGGGUCCUCCCAAAUUGGCAUGUAGUUUUUUGGUUUAUUAAAAUCUUUAUAACUUGGUGGGAUAUAUUGCUCCGCAAUUUAGAAAUUCCGAGAGCGGCAAAAAGUUACCGCGGGGAUAACAGGGUAAUUUUGUUUGAGAGUUCGUAUCGAAGACGGAGUUUGCUACCUCGAUGUUGAAUUGUGAUAUCCUGAAGGCGCAGGAGUUUUCAAGGGUUGGACUGUUCGUCCAUUAAAAUCGCACAUGAUUUGA
rnacentral:rRNA from 1 species